AGUUCGUUUAGAUGUCAAAAUUGUACAGUGUUGCUCUUCGGUUCUUCCUGGCUCACCCUGUUUGAGCACUCCUUCCUCAGCUGGGAAAUAGCUUAAAUAUGAGGAAACCUCCAUUCAGAAGAUUGAUCCUGUUCAACAUGCAGCAGAUUUUGUUUUUUUUAGUGUCAUCAUUGCCACUUGACUGACAGUGAGUUAUUGGUGGCUUGCCAGUGUACCAGAGGGUGUCCGAGUCCAAUCAUUCACUAUGAAGAACCAUCUAUUGCUGCUGACCUCCAA